CCUACGGGGGGCAGCAGUGAGGAAUAUUGGUCAAUGGACGAGAGUCUGAACCAGCCAAGUAGCGUGAAGGAUGACUGCCCUAUGGGUUGUAAACUUCUUUUAUAUGGGAAUAAAAUGUUCCACGUGUGGGAUUUUGUAUGUACCAUAUGAAUAAGGAUCGGCUAACUCCGUGCCAGCAGCCGCGGUAAUACGGAGGAUCCGAGCGUUAUCCGGAUUUAUUGGGUUUAAAGGGAGCGUAGGUGGAUUGUUAAGUCAGUUGUGAAAGUUUGCGGCUCAACCGUAAAAUUGCAGUUCAAACUGGCAGUCUUGAGUACAGUAGAGGUGGGCGGAAUUCGUGGUGUAGCGGUGAAAUGCUUAGAUAUCACGAAGAACUCCGAUUGCGAAGGCAGUUCACUGGACUGCAACUGACACUGAGGCUCGAAAGUGUGGGUAUCAAACAGGAUUAGAUACCCGAGUAGUC
rnacentral:rRNA from 1 species